rnacentral:rRNA from 1 species
AGUGAACGCUGGCGGUAGGCCUAACACAUGCAAGUCGAGCGGAUGAAGAGUACUAGCUUCCUGAUUCAGCGGGCGACUGGUGGGCAAUGCAUAGGAACAUGGCUAGCAGCGGGUGAGUAGGGGCGGAAAUAGGCAAUAAUACCCUAUUACCCCAGACGACGUACGUGGGGGAGCAUGGGACCUCCGGACCUCGCGCGAGCCUAGGUGGGAUUAGCUAGUUGGCGGGGUAACGGCCUACCAAGGCGACGAUCCGUAGCUGGUCUGAGAGACUGAUCGGUCACACUGGAACUGAGACACGGUCCAGACUCCUACGGGAGGCAGCAGUGGGGAAUAUUGGACAAUGGGCGAAAGCCUGAUCCAGCCAUACCGCGUGGGUGAAGAAGGUCUUCGGAUUGUAAAGCCCUUUAAUUUGAGAAGAAAGGCAGCAAGUUAAUACCUUGCUGUUUUGACGGUACCCACAGAAUAAGCACCGGCUAACUUCGUG